rnacentral:tRNA from 1 species
GUCACCGUAGCUUAACUGGAUAAAGCAACGAUCUAGUAAAUCGUCACGCCACACGAAGGCAUUGAUAUCAGUUCAAGUCUGAUCGGUGGCA